UACAGAGGUCUCAAGCGUUGUUCGGAUUCAUUGGGCGUAAAGGGCGCGUAGGUGGUUCUGUAUGUCUACCGUGAAAGCGUACGGCUCAACCGUAUUUUGUCGGUAGAAACUGCAGGACUUGAGGCUGGGAGGGGCUGGUGGAAUUCCCUGUGUAGCGGUGAAAUGCGUAGAGAUGGGGGAGAACACUCGUGGCGAAGGCGGCCAGCUAGACCAGUUCUGACACUGAGGCGCGACAGGGUGGGGAGCAAACAGG
rnacentral:rRNA from 1 species